UAUGUUUUUGUAGUUUGAUUUCUGUACAUUCAGAUGAACAUGAAACUGGACAGCCAUACUAAUUUCUCAUUUUAUUGGCAUGAUCAGAUCUGAGCGCAGCAGCAAGAGGCGCGGAGCUGCAACGACGGGUGGGAUGACGGCCCGAGGUCCACUGCUGAAGGAUGAGCUCGACAUUGUGAUCCCGACCAUCCGGGACCUGGCGUUUCUGGAGCAGUGGAGGCCAUACCUGAGCCCCUAUCACCUGAUCAUCGUGCAGGAUGGCGACCCCACGAAGAAGAUUCACGUGCCGGAGGGGUAUGACUACGAGCUGUACAACCGCAACGACAUCAACCGGAUUCUGGGGCCCAAGGCGUCGUGCAUCUCGUUCAAGGACAGCGCGUGCCGGUGCUUCGGGUUCAUGAUGUCGAAGAAGAAGUACAUCUUCACCAUCGACGACGAUUGCUGGGUGAGUGGGGGCAAUGCAAUGGAAUGCGGGGCGAGGCAGUGUUUGCGGGUGUAGCGAAUGUAGUAGUUGUUGAUGUCGAUGUUGCUGUUGCUGCUGCUGUUGUCGUUGGUUGUUGAGGGGUGGUGAAGCGGGGGCUGUGGCGGUGGAGGUGGUGGAGGACUCGGGUGUGGGGCGGGGGAGUGAUGGGGUGGGGGGAGUGACGGGGUGCAGGUGGCGAAGGACCCAUCGGGGCACGAGAUCAACGCGCUGGAGCAGCACAUCACGAACUUGUUGUCGCCGUCGACGCCGUUGUUCUUCAACACGCUAUACGACCCGUACAGGGCCGGAGCAGACUUCGUGAGGGGGUACCCGUUCAGCAUGCGCGAGGGCGUGGCGACGGCGAUCUCGCACGGGCUGUGGCUGAACGUGCCGGACUACGACGCGCCGACGCAGCUGGUGAAGCCGGCGGAGAAGAACACGCGGUUCGUGGAUGCGGUGAUGACGAUUCCGAAGGGGACGCUGUUUCCGAUGUGCGGGAUGAAUCUGGCGUUCGACAGGGAGAUGAUCGGGGCGGCGAUGUACUUCGGGCUGAUGGGCGACGGGCAGCCGAUCGGGCGGUACGACGACAUGUGGGCGGGGUGGUGCUGCAAGGUGAUCUGCGACCAUCUGGGGUUCGGGGUGAAGACGGGGCUGCCAUACAUCCACCACAGCAAGGCGUCGAACCCGUUCGUGAACCUGAAGAAGGAGUACAAGGGGAUCUUCUGGCAGGAGGAGAUCAUCCCCUUCUUCCAGCAGGUGGUGCUGCCCAAGGAGGCCGUCACCGUGGAGCAGUGCUACAUCGAGCUCGCCAAGCAGGUGGGCCUCGCGCUCUGGUUUGGACGCAAAUUUGCGCUUGAGCUGUGAAUUUUGAAGGUCCAUACGUUUUGAACAUGGUUUAGAAUUGUGCUUGUGUUUUGGUUGUUAGCUGGUGACGAGGUUUUAAUUUUUUUGAUUGAUCUGGCUAUUGGUGUGAAUUGUUUUGUACAGCUUGUACUGGGUGUUUUGUUUUUGCUGAAGUUGGUUGGGGGCUGUUUGGUUGGAACAGGUUGGGGAGAAGUUGAAUGGACUCGACCCCUACUUUACUAAUCUGUCGAAGGCUAUGGUCACCUGGGUUGAGGCAUGGUCUGAGAUCAGCAGCUCUCACAAGAAGAGCCAAGCUACUGCCAACGGCAGUGCUGUCAAGUAGAGUGGAUAUCGUCUAAGAAGGAUAUGGAUGAUUAAUAGUUUUGUAGGCUUGCUUUUAGGACUGGUUCCGUGCGUAUGUUGUCUUUUGCAUGGCCGUGUUCCUUGCAUUCUUAUUUUUUUUUUAAGGAGUGUCUGGAUGCCACUCUCCAUUCUUGACACCAAUUUUUAUCCUAUCACGAAAUUAAGCAUUGCUCUGAUUUUUUUCAUGCCAAUGCAUUUCUCAGUGAUUCCAGUUUCUUUUGUUUUCAUCGGCAGCAUGUGCCAACGUUGCUUAUCAUCAGCUCUUUAUCAGGUGCUUGCUUCUGCAUGACGCUUGUAGACAUUGUGAUCAUUGUGUGAAUCUGAAUCAUUGCAGUCGAUUCGGACCCCCUUGGACGGCAUCUUCAAAUCAAUUCUCCCCCAAACUAAUGCUACUUCCAUUGGAUUAUCAUUUUUGAAAACGUUAAUGUGAGACUCGAGGCAGCUAAUGCCGAAAUGGCAUGCGUGCCUGGUGCCUCUAAUAUAAUGAAGGUUUCAAACGUAGUGGCAAAAUAUGAGGUUCGAUGAGUUUCCUCCCUUUGAUGAAUUCUAAGUACAAUAAAUUUCCAACCUGGGGUAUUUGGGAGGAGUAGUCGGUCUUCUCCGACAAUUGGCCCGCUCCGAGUUGGGCUGAUGAGUUUUGAAAUUACAGGACGACACGACAAAUGAAUCUACAACCAAGUAUUGUUGUCCGAUAAUGUGCUGGAAGGAGUUUGACUCCUUGGUACACCUGCGGCAACUGUACUGUCACUAAUGCGAUGGCCUUCGCAUGCAAAAUGGACUGGGAUGCCAUCUGGUUUCCUGGACAUCUCAGAAUCCAAAACAGCUUUCCUGUCACACUCAGGUGUGAGCUGCAAUAUUUCAAUAUUGUCCAUCAUUCUCGAGAAGAAACGUGACAGCGGCUUUCCGUGAGGCAGAGUAUUGAAUGCCAUACUAUGGCAUGCCAGGAGGUAGGAGAAUCUGAGGCGAUGUGAGAGCACGCUCUGAACAUGGAACAUGGAACAAGUAACAACCCACGACAGUAACGCUUCAUUACAUCGCGGACUGUAUAGUGCCUUACGACCAGACAUGGAUGAAAUCUGGUAAGAAAUCACGGCUUGUGUGUGUGUGGCUCCUUGUAUCAUGGGUGCUUUUAUUUCGCUUCACUCAAAGUGUUGCAGAGGACUUAAACGAGGCUCCUGUGAAUGCUUGUACACUAGGUUUCUCAGAUGCCGACUUCCGAGUGGGGAUAGUAUUCAUCGAUUGAUGAAUUUCUGGAUCUCGAUACACUUUUCUCCAGUUGCAGGUAGGAAGCAGCUCCGAUUUUCGAUCAUGGUUGCGUCAGGACCCUUGACGUUUUGACCAGGAAAUGAAUUAUAUCAUAUACUUCAGCUGCAUGAGAGCUUUACUGCGGGAUAUCUACCACACGAGGAGCAAAAUAAUGACCCGUUCGCAUGGGUUCUCUUUGAGAAUGAUGGGGUGGGAAUGCAGAAAAACGUCGUGCGAAGCUUAAUAGCACGAAGUAUGCAUGCGUCUAUGAUGUGUUCGAAGCUGAGCUGCCAUCGAUCCCUUUCUCUAUUUCAUUGGUGUGCUGGGAGUGCUCCAACGAUCGCCGAACGUUUCUGACUCAUUUUACAUGGUUAAGCUGGGUGGAAUAAAAAGAGGAACAAACAUGUUCCACAAUGAUUUGCCAAAUAUAGACCAUCGGUGAAGGGUGAAGACAGAUAGUAAUUGAAAUCCACACCUCGAUCAGAAAUCGGGGCUACAAUUCUAUCGGUUGUUUCAGCUCCGUCGGUAAGAACACAUAGAUAUUGGUAUGAGAGUGGUGUGGCCACCACGACUGGCAUCCCGAACACGGUUCCCAACUCCACGUGCAGAACAAACAACUGGGACAUACAGAAUUACGAGCAUGGAAUCGGUUUUUCAGUGCUAAUUAUGAAUAUUGCCCACUUAAGCCCCUUCUUAUGAUCAAAGUUGACAGUCCGAAACAAUCUAAACCGAGAUUAAAUCCAUGCUUUAUCAGUGGUCUUUGACAGGCAGAAAAGGAAAAGGAAAUAUAAAAUAGUGGCUUAAUUUCGGGAGCCAUAGAACCAGCACGUUUGUGCUAGAUGAAUGAAGAUCUGCACUCUUGCGACAGUGUUCGCAGUAAAGGUUUACAUCGUUGGCCGCAAUGCAUCUUUCUUUCCAAAUUUCUUUGCAAACCCCGCGAUAUUCUGUUAGUCCAUCCAGCCAAAUUUAGAAACGAUCAUAUUUGAUGAGUCUGAGAACAUUCCAACGACCAAACUUGUCACACUUGAGGAGUGUCUUCAAUUCAAACUUCGUUGUUGAGGGCAACACAUCACUUGCUCGUCACGUCGCACAUAUUGCUCGCAACAAUUACAAACACCUAAAUAAAAAAAAAGUAUAAUACACACGUAAUGGAGCACUGUUCAUCCUUAGUGUUUCAAACGCUGGAGUCGGUACUGCAACUUUGGAUUUUUAUCAUUUAUUGAUUUACAUAUAUGCAUUGGAAAUAGGGGAUUACAGUGUCGUUUCCUUCAUUUUGGAUCCGCCCAUCAGCUAUAAAUGCUGCCCUCCUCCUCACAAUUCCUGGACUUGUUCAAUUUCUUGCUGCAGCGCAACUAGAGAAGUUGGGGCACCCCUGCAGUCACGAUUGGCAGUUGCACCUCACUGCAUCAGCUUCAGAAGAUCUUCAUUUGGCUAGGUCUGCUUUAUAUCAUAGUGUAUUUUCCAUCAUCCCCCCAACUCCAGAAUGCGAUAUAUCAACAUUGUUUUGUGCAUCAUUCGUGGGUUGCAGUAGCUGAGCUAUCAGUUCGCGAAUACGCUUGGAUUUCUGUGUCUGCCUCUCGUUCGCCUUCGCCGUUGGUGACUCACAUCUGAGAUUUCGCUGGCUCUCAUUCAGAAAACUCCCAAAUUUGGUCAAAUUGGGAGGCAAGGGGUUUCACACUCUACACCUCUGUUUUAGGUCAUGUGCAAACCUUUCUGUUCUGAGUACUUGCUCCGUAGUGGCACAGAUCUGUAGCUACUUCCUUCGCAAAUACCACUCUCUUCAUGCUCCUUUGAUUUUUCAAAUUAGUCCCCAGUUUAUAGCAUCUGUCAUUUUCGAGGAGAUGUCGUCUUUCGAGGCCGUCAGUCAAGAUGUCCUCGUUUUUUCAUAUCUCCGCCAGACCGGCUGAUCUAGUACAGUUUAUUCUCAGAACACAUUGUUAUCGAUGACUUGCAUUUGAAAUGUACACACUUUUCGGCAAGUAUCGGUGUUUAACCUACUAAACAUCGGUACGUCGGGAAUAGUAUGUUUUUGUUUGAAGAUUUUUAUUUUCUGUCAAGAAGAGCUGUUGGGUGUACUCAAAGCUCGCCCUUGCAUCAUUCGUCAGUGUCAUGACCACAAUAACUACUCAUUCUGAAUCUCGAUUAGCUCUGUAGAGUUCUUCCGUCUCUAUGAUACUCUCUAUAUUCAACGCGCACUUCACUAAAAAUUGUUCACUGGUCCAAUUCUUCCAGCUGUCUUUGAGAAUAGCAUUAAUCAACUUCAUUUGUUUUUGACUGUAUGUGGUUCUCUGCGGACUAACGUUUUUGCAUAUCUCCGGUAUCUGUGCACUUGUUUGAGCGCAGCAGCAAGAGGCGCGGAGCUGCAACGACGGGUGGGAUGACGGCCCGAGGUCCACUGCUGAAGGAUGAGCUCGACAUUGUGAUCCCGACCAUCCGGGACCUGGCGUUUCUGGAGCAGUGGAGGCCAUACCUGAGCCCCUAUCACCUGAUCAUCGUGCAGGAUGGCGACCCCACGAAGAAGAUUCACGUGCCGGAGGGGUAUGACUACGAGCUGUACAACCGCAACGACAUCAACCGGAUUCUGGGGCCCAAGGCGUCGUGCAUCUCGUUCAAGGACAGCGCGUGCCGGUGCUUCGG
rnacentral:lncRNA from 1 species